GAAGAAGUAAACAAAUACAGGCUGAGAGGGAGGCAAUCUAUUGGAUAGGUGUGCUUGUUCUUAAUAACAGAAUGCCCAGCCUAGGGGGGCACAGCAUUUAAUAGUGACAGAUCUUUAGGAGUGAAAAAGUGGAAGCAUUUGGGGAAACUUUCAGAUUUGGGAAUUAUAUUGAGAGAGUAGUCACAGAUGAGGGGUCUCAGGACCAUGCUGCUAGUUUUAGGUAUUCUUUACCAUCUGAGCCACCAGAUAAGCCAUGGUCAGUGUCUUUUGAGGCAGUUUUGAAAUUUCUUAGUUCAGAGGUACUGAGCCACUAAAGCCAUAUGAAUAAAAUUCAAGAAUGUCAUGGUUAUUGCCUUUUAUUGAGUGCUUACAUUGACCCAACAAGGGUAUAGAUAAUAUGUUUUAUCCUCACAUAGUAUGAAAUAGGUACUUUUACUACCCUGAUUUUUACAUAAGGAAACAGAAGGGUUGAAUAAUUUGCUCAAGAUCACAUAGCAAGUAAGUGGCAGAGACCAGAUUAAGUCUGUAACUUUUUUUUAAAAUUGAAACUGUUUUUUCAAAAUUAUUUAUUUUUGUUGCUGUGAGAGGGCUUCUGUCCGGUGGCAGUAGCAGGCUCUGGGUACGCAGGCUCAGUAGUUUGCGGCUUGUGGCUCCAGAGCACAGGCUCAGUGGUUUCAGUAGCUGUGGUGCAGGGGCGGAGGUGACCCAUGGCAUGUGGAAUCUUCCCAGACCAGGGAUCAAACCCAUCGGACUCUUUGCCACUGGACCACCAGGGAAGUCCUAGUCUGUAACUCUUAAUUCUUACACAAUUUGUGGCGCCCUUACUCUUAGAAAGUGUUCUCUUGACUCCUUAGAAUAUUAGGGGAAAAAGAAAAACUGUUGCAUUUUAGCUCAGAAAGUGGCCUUUGGUUCUUUCAGGCACACCCCUUUGUACUAAAGUCCUGAAAAGUGUGGUGACCUUGAUAAGGUCACUUCUGUGCCAGGGUAGAGCCAAGCCUCCUAGUCACUGGAUUCCCAGGCCAGUGCUUAUUCUGCUGGACAGCAUUCCCUUUCCUGUGGAAGCACUGAUUUGAUGGCAGAGAUGACGCUUAAGGAACCUAUUGUAUUUUGACAAGUGUGCCUCAGUCACAGGAGGGAGAGUAGCAGAGAACAUUGUUAAGGUCACAGACGACCUUCUUGAGGUUCAUUCCAGCCUCAGGCAUACAACCUAAGAACAUUCCUUAGCCAGCAAGUUGUUCUUUUCCAUUCUAUUUCUUGUGCCCAAAGCAAACUGUUUGUGAGUUAUCUGAUGUCUUACAG
ensembl:lncRNA